UGAUUGCUAGACAAGUUGUUUAUUUCAGUGUAUAAAAACACGUGCUCAUGAAUCAGAGUGAGUUCAGCAUUCCUGCAUGUCUAGCUAGAAUUCCUCUCCCUGCAUUUACUGGUCACUGCUUGUAAUAAACCGCUUGAUUCGGUUAAAACAAACUCCUCUGCCUCAGAGUUGUUACUGCCUCCAUGAAGGUCGCUCUUACAGAUUGGCGCUGCGAGCAGGGUGUCCCGCUUGAGACUGUUGUCGUGGCAUUGCUAAGAGGUUGAAUGAACCAGUGGAUGGAGGCAGGGUGAGGAGUAAAUCAGAUGGGGCGCUGAAGGACUAGCGCUCAAGUGAACUCAAAUAAGAAGUAGAAGUGCAUUGAUGGACUAGCGUCAGAGCAAGCCCUAAUGAAAACCUCCGAUGGACAGACAGGUGGUACCUCUUGAUCCAGUGGGCCCUUGUUGUCGGCUACAACAAUGAUGCGCUGGUGAUAACCCAGACCAGUGAUCACACCAACGUAACCAUAGAAGCUUACUCCAUGCUCUCACUGGCCUGCCAACAUAACCGCAACUAUACCACUCUUAUACCACAGAUUAGCAGAAUAUAUUAUACUGAUAAUACUGACACCUGCCAAAAUGGCGAAUGGUAGAUAAGGAGGGAAGAGACUAUCCGAUUUACCUGUGCGCGGGGUAUUCCCCUGUUAACCUGCAUAGAUACGGAUGGAAAACCCAUUACUGACACUUUUGGAGAAGGGACUAGCACAGCAGUAUGCUAUAACAUAACCCCUGAUAUUAAGGAUCAUUGUGACUGAAACCUCCUCAUCCUUGUGAAGCAAAGUAACCAGCAGCAAUAUAAAGGAAUGCAGAUCAGAAUAAUAAAUGAUACCAUCGUAUGGUCCCAAACCCAAAAUGUGGGAUUGUAGCAGUAAACCGCAGUGGUGUACUGUUAGUAUCAAUCGUACCUUGAAAUGUAGAGACUGCUCUGUCAUCAUACACUCUACCGUUCAUUAUAGGAAAUGCACCAAAUGAGAAAACAGGCACUCACGUACUGACAGAAAGCAGUAUCAGAUCUGAGUAGGACAAUGGCUGAAACCACCCACACCUGGACCAACCCCCGCUAGCCCUGCUUGUGAUGAAAAUAUAACCUAUACACUGGGUAAUGGCCUAGCCUCAGAAGAAACAGAAGCCCAAGAGUUUUUAACCCCUCCAGAUAAAUAAGAUUCACUUCUUGAUCCAGGUCAAUCUGAAACUGCCCACUCCUUGCCCAAAAGAACAAAUAACUUUUUUUUUUUCUCAGAUAUUCUACAACAAAGACCCUUAGUUCAGUUGGACCAAAAAAAUCAAUGAAUUAAAUGUGGGCUUGCUGAAAUGGCAGGAGCUGGGUAUACAGCACGCGUAGUGUCUGUUAGCUCCUUUGAUCGAGAAGUCUUCAUUGACCAACUUAACCAAUUACGAAAAAAUAUCUGUAACCAGCUACAAGACAAACUCAAUGUUCAGCAACUCACCACAAACUACAGUAAGCAUCUGCACCAUCGCUUUGAUCAAGCCUAUACAGCUGCCUAGCAAGCAGCUCAUUGACCAAGUCAAUGAAAACACCAGAGCAAUCUGUAGGCUGAGCUAGGCUCCCUGGUUGCAUCACCAGCCUUAGCUGAUGCAACUGCAGGCACCUCGCAAUAAUUUGGUCCCUAUCUGGAUAACCAAUCAACAUUUGGCUAAUUUGACAAAUAUGAAGAGCACUCAAGGUCUCAGAGACAUUUCUCAUGCUUACUGGCUAUGGGACAGUAUUUUAAGUCAAAAGAAGAUCAUCACCUCACUUUUGCAUGUUCCACACAACGUGCAAAAAACAUACAGCCUCCUGAACAUCCAAGAUAUGAGCAUUUGAAAUGGAACCCUCCAAGCUACGCUCCAUGAUGGACGUUGUUUUGCCAUUCAUCAACACAAUCAGAUAUAGGCCAUUGACAUUCAGCUCUGCAGCAAUCAUUGAGACAUCCUUCAGUGCCCCGAAGACGCUGUUAGCAUCAGCCCUGUGGCUUGCAUCAUUAGGAAAACUGUGAUAUUACAUGGGUCAAGGGCUAUGGCAUGCCAGUGGUAUAUGCCCUCCUGGACUCCAUCUUCGUCACCACCACAGACCAAAACUAUACAAAGAAUGGAGUUACCUAUAACCUAGCAGGCCACAGACUGUGCAUCUGGAAUCUGAAAAAUCCCAUUACUCUGUCCAGUGGUACCAUCAUUGAACCCAUUCUUGGUGAAGGCAGGCAAGAAUAUAUCGGCUGGUUCUCACCGGUGACCUUGAGUAAUGUUACCACAUUGCUCCAAGAAAAGAUUCCCCAGAAACCGCAUUCACAUACAUCAUGGGAGCAAUUGGCGGAAGAGUCAAAGCGAUUGGAACAUGAAUGGGUCAACACAUCUAUCAAGAUCCGUCAGGCUAAACAGUUUGUUAAGACUGUAUUACAAGCCAUACCCUGCUGGCUCAGGACUUUGGUUUGGGGACUAAAUGUUUACAUCCAUCAGUGGAUUUGUAUUGUAUCUCACGUGCUCGUUAUUCUACAGUUGCUUGUGCUAAUAAUUUUAAUAAUAAUAAUAUUUUAAUAAUAAUAACUGUUGUAUUGAAAAACUUGCUGAAAUGGGCUGCUACCAAGGAAGAAGGAAGAGCUCAUUCCCCCAUCAGCCCCACUGACUGUAGAGGAGGUACAAGGGAUAAUUAUCUGAGCAUACAUUGUCCCAUGGGCCAUGAGUAGGCCAUGGGCCAACAGGGGGAACUGAAAGGGAAGACUGUCCCACCCAUGCACACACAAAUAAGUAUAAUAGAAUAAACAUGAAAUGGUUGACUAAACAUGCUCAAGCAAGGCUUAUUCAGGUGGAACAAUGUGGUCUGCUGACUAUGUUGAAAUGGCCAACACCUCUGUGACAUUUCAGUUAGACCACAGAACCAUGCACCCUGACUGUUGGAUUGCUGGUUGGUAGGACAGGAAUAGCUGACAAAGUAGAUAGCUGAUUAAAUUAUCAAACUAAAAUGAGAGCGCAUGAUGUGCCCUAAGGAGUGACCACACUAGAAAGGGGGAUGGAGAUAAACUGCUGAUGAUUGCUAGACAAGUUUUUAUUUCAGCAUAUAAAAAGCUGUAAAGCAUGCUCAUGAAUCAGAGUGAGUUUGGUAUUCCUGCGUGUCCACCUAGAAUUCAUCUCCCUGUAUUCAGCAGUAAUUGCUGGUAAUAAACUGUUCAAUUCACUUAAACAAA